rnacentral:rRNA from 1 species
AACGAACGCUGGCGGCAUGCCUAACGCAUGCAAGUCGAACGAGACCUUCGGGUCUAGUGGCGCACGGGUGCGUAACGCGUGGGAACCUGCCCUUAGGUUCGGAAUAACUCCCCGAAAGGGGUGCUAAUACCGGAUAAUGUCUUCGGACCAAAGAUUUAUCGCCUUUGGAUGGGCCCGCGUUGGAUUAGCUAGUUGGUAGGGUAAAAGCCUACCAAGGCGACGAUCCAUAGCUGGUCUGAGAGGAUGAUCAGCCACACUGGGCUGAGACACGGCCCAGACUCCUACGGGAGGCAGCAGUGGGGAAUAUUGGACAAUGGGCGAAAGCCUGAUCCAGCAAUGCCGCGUGAGUGAUGAAGGCCUUAGGGUUGUAAAGCUCUUUUACCCGGGAUGAUAAUGACAGUACCGGGAGAAUAAGCUCCGGCUAACUCCGUG